rnacentral:misc_RNA from 1 species
GAAGUUUCACUAAGUACUAACAACUAUGGUAGUGUUCAUGCCCCUUUUCACUUCAAUUUUUGUUGAAUUACAUGUGGCUAGCUUAUUCAGCUGUUUGGUUAUUGAAAAACAAGUUGAUCCAAGAUUUUUAUUUGUCAUUAAUCUUUAAGUGGCCUUCCAUGCAUAUUUGCAUUUAACGUGUAAAGCAGUUAAAUUGGUUUACUUUUAUUUUGCUUCUACUUUUAGAUAGGCCAUAAUUUAUGUGCUGGCAGCUAAGCAUUUUUCAGCUCACUUGUUCUUGCAUUCUGCUAAUUGCUGUGCAUGGCUUUGAGUUGAUAAUUUAUAGUGCAUUUUGCCCCACCUUGCUUCCUUUUUAGAGAUUAUGGUGAACAAGUCAUGGACAAAAUAACAAGGCUAAUUUACCAACAUUAGUAACUUCAACUUUGAAUCUUUUGGAUGCAUGACAUAUAUGCAUCAUUUUCUUCCAUUGGGCUUUGUUUAAGGCCAAACUUUCUAUUAAAUGUCGUAAUAGUAGACUUAAGGGAAUUUGAACACACAAUUAACUGGAUUUGAUGCCAUGAAAAGCUCAUUGGUCAUGCCACCAGGUCAGUUGUCUUUCAGUUUGUCAUAGGCAGUACAAGACAUGCGUAGAUGUAAAUAUUAUACAUGCAUUUGAUUUUGUGUUUUGGCAUUUGGUCUGAUGAAAUCAAACUGGGGAUAAUAUUUGAUCUGUAGGAAAACAAAAAAGAAAUGAUCAUGAUAUUUGUAUUUUGUUGAUGCUGUGACUACUGCUUCCCUUGAUUUCUAUUAUGCUUCAUCUUUUCUUUUCUUAUUUUUUGUUAUGCUUCAUCUGAGAUAUAAUGACAAUUUCUGUUUCUGGUGUGCAGAUCCUCUGAACCAUGCCCUUCCGGUUCAUCAUCAGUGACUUGUGCUCAUGAUGUGUACUGUUUUGGGAAGGUCUUAUUGGAGCUCAUAACAGGCAAACUGGGCAUCAGUAAAUCAGAUGAUGCCACAACAAGGGAGUGGCUAGAACACACAUUGGCAUAUAUCAGUAUAUAUGACAAGGAACCAGUGACGAAGAUUAUUGACCCGUCUUUGAUCGUAGAUGAAGAUUUGUUGGAAGAGGUAUGGGCCAUGGCCAUUGUGGCCAGAUCAUGCCUUAAUCCCAAGGCUUCAAAACGUCCCCCAAUGAAAUAUAUUCUCAAAGCAUUAGAAAACCCGUUGAAAGUUGUGAGGGAGGAGAGUUACAAUUCAGGAAGGCUGAGAACAACUUCAUCUAGGAGAUCCUGGAGUGCUGCCUUUUUUGGCAGUUGGCGACACAGCUCAUCAGAAAAUGCUACUGUUCCAGGCCAUACUAUCCGCGAAGGUGUCGGUGGCUCAAAGCAGCCAGGAAGAGUAGGAUCUCAUGGCAGUUGUGGAAUUGAACAUACAUAUUCUAAUAAAAAGUUAUCCAGUGAAAUUUUUCCCGAGCCACUUGAAAUGCAAGAUAUAGAGCUGCAAGAUGAGCAUUAGCUAGCAUGGUGUUUUCAGAUGUUCAUUGAGUAUACUGUGGCCCUUGCAGUUGUGUGUUAAGAAUCAUAUUUGAUAGCUUCUCAUCGGGGAUUAAAGCAAUUGAUUGACAAGCUGAUUGGCCUGCCCGUGAAAGAUUUUUCUUUUUCUGACUGGCUAUUCUAUUGAGGCGUGACUGAGAAUUGAAAUAACACUGUUUCUGUUUGCUUGUACACAGACUCAUUCCUUGAAAUUUCAUAGAAAUGGACAUUUUUUUCAUGUCGUUGAUGUAAUUAUAUUGUAGACCUGUAUUUUUGCCUACAAAGAACUUUUUCAGCAAUUCAAUCACGCAUUCCUUAAAA